GACUAAACUGUCUCUUACGGAUAUUCAAUGAAAUUGAUCUUUCAGUCCAAAAGCUGAGAUACCUACACCAGACGAGAAGACCCUGUGGAGCUUCCUAAACCAAUAUCAACCCCUAUGGUUAUGUGGUUUUUAGUUGGGGCGACUUCGGAGAACAAAAAAACCUCCAACUUGGAAAUUUUCCUAAUUAAGAUCUACACAUCUAAAUAUACAACUUGACCCAGUAGGCAUUAUCCCUAUCUGACCAAGGAACCAAGUUACCCCAGGGAUAACAGCGCUAUCCUCUUUUAGAGUCCCUAUCGACAAGAGGGCUUACGACCUCGAUGU
rnacentral:rRNA from 1 species